rnacentral:misc_RNA from 1 species
GAUGAAGAACGCAGCGAAAUGCGAUAAGUAAUGUGAAUUGCAGAAUUCAGUGAAUCAUCGAAUCUUUGAACGCACCUUGCGCUCCUUGGUAUUCCGAGGAGCAUGCCUGUUUGAGUGUCAUUAAUUUCUCAACCUCACCAGCUUUUGCUGAGUGCAGGCUUGGAUGUGGGGGUUGCAGGUCCGCUAACGUGGUCUGCUCCUCUGAAAUGUAUUAGUGGGUUGGGCCCCUAAUCUAUUGGUGUGAUAAUUAUCUACGCCGUGGAUUUGGGUGGCUGACUUAGACCCGCUUCUAACCGUCCUUCACCGGACAACUCUUGACAAUUUUGACCUCAAAUCAGGUAAGACUACCCGCUGAACUUAAGCAUAUCAAUAAGCGGGGA